rnacentral:rRNA from 1 species
GAUGAACGCUGGCGGCGUGCUUAACACAUGCAAGUCGAACGAUGAAGCCCAGCUUGCUGGGUGGAUUAGUGGCGAACGGGUGAGUAACACGUGAGUAACCUGCCCUUGACUCUGGGAUAAGCCUGGGAAACUGGGUCUAAUACUGGAUAUGACUUCUCAUCGCAUGGUGGGGGGUGGAAAGAUUUAUUGGUCUUGGAUGGACUCGCGGCCUAUCAGCUUGUUGGUGAGGUAAUGGCUCACCAAGGCGACGACGGGUAGCCGGCCUGAGAGGGUGACCGGCCACACUGGGACUGAGGCACGGCCCAGACUCCUACGGGAGGCAGCAGUGGGGAAUAUUGCACAAUGGGCGCAAGCCUGAUGCAGCGACGCCGCGUGAGGGAUGACGGCCUUCGGGUUGUAAACCUCUUUCAGUAGGGAAGAAGCGAGAGUGACGGUACCUGCAGAAGAAGCGCCGGCUAACUACGUG